AACGAACGCUGGCGGCAUGCCUAACACAUGCAAGUCGAACGAGACCUUCGGGUCUAGUGUCGCACGGGUGCGUAGCGCGUGGGAACCUGCCCUUAGGUUCGGAAUAACUCCCCGAAAGGGGUGCUAAUACCGGAUAAUGUCUUCGGACCAAAGAUUUAUCGCCUUUGGAUGGGCCCGCGUUGGGUUAGCUAGUUGGUAGGGUAAAAGCCUACCAAGGCGACGAUCCAUAGCUGGUCUGAGAGGAUGAUCAGCCACACUGGGACUGAGACACGGCCCAGACUCUCACGGAAGGCAGCAGUGGGGAAUAUUGGACAAUGGGCGAAAGCCUGAGCCAGCAAUGCCGCGUGAGUGAUGAAGGCCUUAGGGUUGUAAAGCUCUUUUACCCGGGAUGAUAAUGACAGUACCGGGAGAAUAAGCGACGGCUAACUCCGUG
rnacentral:rRNA from 1 species